CAUUAAGAUAGGCCGCAAUUGAGACCUUCACUUAAUUUUCUCUCUGCAAAACAAAUGAGAGCAGACUUUAUUCAACCAGGUCUGUCCAAUUGAAUUUGGACUUCAUGUUGGAGACUCUAUGUUUGGAGUGAAUCUUGUGUGGGCACUUGCUAUUUCUCGGUUGUUUUUCUUCUUUACAAAGCAAUGUUUACAGUGCGAUGAGUGAAUGAAGGGUAACCCAGUGAGAAUAAGGUGGGCUACUUUGCAUUUGUUUAUUUUAUAUAUUUAAUUAGUUUUGUUUUACUUUUUCCAUAAUGAUCAUCCAAAGUUUCAUCUUU